AUAUGUAGCGUACUGUUUAAAGGGCCCAUAUCAUGCAAAAUCCACUUUUUAGACAUUUUGGAGCGUCCCUAUGACUCUAUGGGUCACAUAUACACACACUGAGCACGGUAGAAAUGCAUUUCCUGCUUUUUUCACAUUUUGAAAACGUAAAUUUUCUCAUCCAAUGAAAACAGCCACGACCUACUCUGAGGCCGUUCCCCAGGUUUCGUCAUACUGGUUGAAAGUUCUCCUUGCAAAUCCUGAACCACCACCCCCACAAUGAUCCCGAACCAAAACUGGACUUCCGCCAUUUCCCCCCUCUCACUCACCGUGAACAGACCAGCACGGCAGCGCCCAAGUCCUCCCAUAGAAAUAGUUCGGUUCUUAGGUGUUCUAACAACACCAAAGUCUCUUCACUUUACCAAGGGAUCAACAAGUGAGGACUUUGUGGGUCACUUUUAUUUUUAACGGACCGGUGCCAGAAACACUGCCUCAGCAUUUAUACGUAUGUGCAUUUCAAACGAGGGUGCGUACAAUGCUGGAUUUGUUUCACGGCUCCUGUUGGAAAAAAAGGACCUAUUCCUAAAGUCCGUCAUCCACUCACUGCAGAGGGCAAAUCCCAGUUGCCUACAUGCAAGGAGGCUGUGAAACAGAGAAAUCACUGCAGACUGUUGGUACACGGACAUCUGCUGCCCAGCUCAGGAGUAAAGGUAUGUAAGUUUGUAUGUACCAACAGUAAGAUAGGUAAUAGACGAUUUUAAUUGGUAUAUACUGUUUAGAUUUUAUAUUUGAAUUGUAACAACUGUUUAUCUGUUGUUUUAGCACAGACAGGCCUGUCCUCUUGUUUGGUUUAAUUUUUUGUCUGGUAUUGUGUGUUCUUACAUUAGAGAAGGUUUUGACCUACAUGAUAAUGAACAUUUCACUAAUCUACAAUUCUGAUUGCACUACCUUUUGUUUUGAUGAGGUGAUGGUGAGGACAGCCACAGCUUCCAUCUGGUAGAGGACUGCUUCUGCUCAGUCUUCCAAAUAGUGAUGAGAACAAGGAUCACCACAUCUCCCUGUUUACCCUACUUUCAUGCAUUUCGUCUGCAAGGCCCUGCAAAAGCUUCUCCUUCGUCCUCAAACCCCCAGACUUCUUAAUUAACUCAGUAACCUAUACAUUGCACAUUGGAGUGUGAAGGUAACAGUUUGUUCUAGCUUUGGAGUAGUGGUGUAUUUUUUUGGUUUACAAUAAAGUUGGCUUUAACUAUUA